rnacentral:rRNA from 1 species
AUUGAACGCUGGCGGCAGGCCUAACACAUGCAAGUCGAACGGUAACAGGAAACAGCUUGCUGUUUCGCUGACGAGUGGCGGACGGGUGAGUAAUGUCUGGGAAACUGCCUGAUGGAGGGGGAUAACUACUGGAAACGGUAGCUAAUACCGCAUAACGUCGCAAGACCAAAGAGGGGGACCUUCGGGCCUCUUGCCAUCGGAUGUGCCCAGAUGGGAUUAGCUAGUAGGUGGGGUAACGGCUCACCUAGGCGACGAUCCCUAGCUGGUCUGAGAGGAUGACCAGCCACACUGGAACUGAGACACGGUCCAGACUCCUACGGGAGGCAGCAGUGGGGAAUAUUGCACAAUGGGCGCAAGCCUGAUGCAGCCAUGCCGCGUGUAUGAAGAAGGCCUUCGGGCUGUAAAGUACUUUCAGCGGGGAGGAAGGGAGUAAAGUUAAUACCUUUACUCAUUGACGUUACCCGCAGAAGAAGCACCGGCUAACUCCGUG